AUUGAACGCUGGCGGCAGGCCUAACACAUGCAAGUCGAACGGUAACAGGAAGAAGCUUGCUUCUUUGCUGACGAGUGGCGGACGGGUGAGUAAUGUCUGGGAAACUGCCUGAUGGAGGGGGAUAACUACUGGAAACGGUAGCUAAUACCGCAUAACGUCGCAAGACCAAAGAGGGGGACCUUCGGGCCUCUUGCCAUCGGAUUUGCCCAGAUGGGAUUAGCUAGUAGGUGGGGUAACGGCUCACCUAGGCGACGAUCCCUAGCUGGUCUGAGAGGAUGACCAGCCACACUGGAACUGAGACACGGUCCAGACUCCUACGGGAGGCAGCAGUGGGGAAUAUUGCACAAUGGGCGCAAGCCUGAUGCAGCCAUGCCGCGUGUAUGAAGAAGGCCUUCGGGUUGUAAAGUACUUUCAGCGGGGAGGAAGGGAGUAAAGUUAAUACCUUGGCUCAUUGACGUUACCCGCAGAAGAAGCACCGGCUAACUCCGUG
rnacentral:rRNA from 1 species